UCAAGUGUAUUGACUAAUCUCUCUAUGAGUUCUCUAGUCAGGAUUGAUCAUCCAUCUAUGAGGUUGAGGAAAACUUCUUCAUUGCACGGAAUUGUGAGGCCUCCCAUUGGAUGAUCGAAGCCAAACUCCUCCUCAGCUUGACUCAGCAGGUCCUGGAACGAGGGCCGAGAUAAGUAUGACAGAGGAACGAUGAAUCUCUUCUUUUGGUUUUCUCCUACAUAAACUGGGAAAUACCCCUUUGGAACGUCUAAGGGAGCAGAAUCUACUUCUCUGCGACCAGAUAGAGACCGCCGCAACUUUUUUCCUGGCAAACUGAUCCCCAUAAUCAUAAGUCUGAAAUCUGUUUCCAAAAGGAAAGACUUGAGGACGAUGCUAUGCCACUUGCUGGAAGGAAGUAGGAAGAAAUGUGAAUUUUGAUUUGGGUGCAGAAGCAAUGGCUUGGUAAUGUAUAUAUAGGGUGAGUGGAUGGCAAGUGAGCCUAUCUGCCAAGCUGAAUGAGUGAUGAGGAGGUUGCAGCAUACAGGGCCAAAGGAGAAACAUGGGCUGUUGGGGGCUCACGUGUCAAUGUCUGCCAAACCUCAAGAAACUCUAGAGCUCAUUAUUGCAGCAAACAUCAUGGCCCACGUCUCCUGAAGACAGGAUUCCUCACAGGUCCUACUGAAAUCUGAAGAGAUUGUGGUUGAUGUGAACUACCUCUCUCGGUUAGUUGGAGAGGACUCCUUAACAAACCAUUUGUCCCAGGACUAAUAAACAGCCCUCCCAAAUUUGUGGUGUUAGUCACUCACUCAUGACUCAACUAACAGGCCGUUUUCCACUUCAUACGGACCUUGACCCUAAAAUGAGUGCUUUACAAUCCUAUCUAGGCUUGAGCAUAUUACCUUUUCCUUUUCUCAAUUGCAGGAAACAUGGCACUCAAGAAGUAUUGUGGGUUUCAAAUGGAUAAAAUAUGAUGCUUUCUUGGAGAGAGUGGUGGUACAAGAUCCUCCUGUUAAAUUUGGCAGAACAACAGCGUACCACUUGUACCAACCAACAUGUUUGAGACAUUAGCCAAUGUUGCCACAUGAGUAGCAGGGUCACCUGAAAUGACAUGGCUUAGCAGUGGUUUAAUAUCACCGGGUAGUUGUUUUAUCAAGAAAAUAAGGUUCGGUGAUGAGGCAUAUCACACCCUGGAUAAUAUAGGUCUUGUAUUGACUGUAUGGCAAUUCCUGGAUCUAAUCUAAAUACUGUCCAUUGGCCACAAUUUGUGUCCUGGUUGCACACUUUGCUGUACUUCGCCCCUGAAUCAAUCAAUGGUAUAUAUGCAAACAUGUACUGGAUCAGAUGAAAAAUUCAAAUGUUUAGGGAACAAAGAAAAUGUUGGAAAUUGUGAUCCAUUUUCUCUAAAAAUAUCUAGAAACUACUAACUUAAUCAUGAAGGUGAGAACCUUCUAGAAUUGUUGAGAAUGGAGAUUGCUAGUUGAAUCUAGAAGAUUCACAUGGGAAUGCAAGCAAGCAAAAGCCAAGCAUCAAAGAAAAUCCUAGAACAAGCAAGAGAAGUCUAGAGAAGUCCAUGCUUCAAGAGAAGUCUAGAAUUCUAGAAUGCUUCAAGAGAAGUCUAGAAUUCUACAAUGCUUCAAGAGAAGUCUAGAAUUCUCUAUCUUAUGUUAGUAUCUAUUUGUAGAGAAGUCUAGAGACUUCCUCCACCUACUUUGGUAGCCUAUAUAAAGGAGCAAGUGCUCCAUGUUUUGGUGAAGGGAGCUAACCAUAAAAACCACACAUCAUGCUCCCUUACCAACACCUCAACUAUUGUAAAAUUAUUUUCAUAAACUAGUGAAACUAUCUUUGUCCCAUAAACCUUCUCAAAAGAUCCUAUCAUUGUCCCUUGUCCAUCCCCUAUCAAAUAUAAACUAUACCAUGCUUCCGCGCACAUUUAAAUUCUAACAUGGUAUCAGAGCUAGGUUACGCCCAGGUUCGUAACUGAGCCAGGCGUAAGGGACCAUGAAGCCAAAACCAGGCAUAUCGGAUGGUUAUGGGCGUUUGUCCUCACCAUCCUCAACUAAAAAGGCUAGAGCCCGAGCGAGACCCAAUAGAGCUAGAGCCGGAGCCAGAGCCAAAAUCAAAGGCCAGAGCCCGAGCGAAAGCCAACAGAGCCAGAGCUGGAGCUAGAGCCAAAAUCAAAGCCGGAGCCAGAGCCAGAGCCUACGAGAGCCAGAGCCAGAGCCCGAACUAACAACUACAACUAAGAGCAUUUUGCCACAAGACAUAUGGGACAUCAUUAAAGAAAAGACAUAUGCAUGUUCAAAGGCAAGUGCAAGUGGUUCGACAAAAGGAUACAAGGGAUUGUGGCACAAAGACAACACAAAAGGCAUUGGACAAAUUACAAGAGAAAUUUCAAGGUAUGUCCGAGACUUUACAACACAAGUCCGGAUUAUCUCGAAAAUGGAUCAAGGGGGAGUGUUGGAAAUUGUGAUCCAUUUUCUCUAAAAAUAUCUAGAAACUACUAACUUAAUCAUGAAGGUGAGAAUCUUCUAGAAUUGUUGAGAAUGGAGAUUGCUAGUUGAAUCUAGAAGAUUCACAUGGGAAUGCAAGCAAGCAAAAGCCAAGCAUCAAAGAAAAUCCUAGAACAAGCAAGAGAAGUCUAGAGAAGUCCAUGCUUCAAGAGAAGUCUAGAAUUCUAGAAUGCUUCAAGAGAAGUCUAGAAUUCUCUAUCUUAUGUUAGUAGCUAUUUGUAGAGAAGUCUAGAGACUUCCUCUACCUACUUUGGUAGCCUAUAUAAAGGAGCAAGUGCUCCAUGUUUUGGUGAAGGGAGCUAACCAUAAAAACCACACACCAUGCUCCCUCACCAACACCUCAACUAUUGUAAAAUUAUUUUCAUAAACUAGUGAAACUAUCUUUGUCCCAUAAACCUUCUCAAAAGAUCCUAUUAUUGUCCCUUGUCCAUCCUCUAUCAAAUAUAAACUAUAUCAUGCUUCCGCGUACAUUUAAAUUCUAACAGAAAAACCAGAAAUUACAGAGAUUCAGGCCUAGAAAAGCAAAAGUUGAGAGGGUAGGAAAAACGUUUGCCUCCAGGUUCGUCGUGUGGCAGACUUGUAAUAUACUGAUUCUAUGGAGAAAUUGACAAGAUUCAGCCAACUAGUUUUUAGCUUAUAUGAAGUUAAGAAUGGCAGAAAUGGUAGUGACAUCUAAAUCCAGAUGUAACACCCCUUCAAACUUCAUUUGGAAACAAUUUGGAUGGAGAUAUGCAUUUCAUUUUGCAAUCUACCAUUUAGCUCCAGUUUAUUGACUUGAUCUACAAUAGAUCUAAUUGACCUUUUCGUCUCCAUUCCUUGUCAUGCAAAAAUUCUUUUAGGCCGUGCUGAGAAAUACAACGAUUACCACAACUCUGAACAGUAGCAUGUAAAAGCAAGUCUUGUAGAUUAUUUUUCUCAGAACCAUCGCCAGUUCACAUAAAACAAGAGGAGGAAACAAGAGUGCUUUUAGCAGAAGCUAAUCACACAAAAGAUCAAUCCGUAAUGAGGUAGAUAACCAGAGACUCAACUUCUUUACUUUCGGCACAAAGUGAUUACCAAAAGGAUGAAAUCGAUCACUAGGAACACCACAUAUCCACAUAUUCAUGAAAAUCAAUGUCAUUGAUCCAAAUUGCAUCUUCAAUUGUACAUCUAUCUAUCUCCUUAAACUGGUACUCCCUAAACAAUAGGGGAAAAUAUCAACACCAGUUGUAAAAUUUGUAUACAAAAUCAUGUCAAGUGUAUCAACUAAUCUAUCUAGGAGUUCUCCAGUCAGGGUUGAUCAUCCAUCUAUGAGGCUGAGGAAAACUUCUUCAUUGCAUGGAAUCGUGAGGCCUCCCAUUGGAUGGUCAAAGCCGAACUCCUCAGCUUGAUUCAGCAGGUCCUGGAAUGAGGGCCGAGAUAAGUAUGACAGAGGAAUGAUGAAUCUCUUCUUUUGGUUUUCUCCCACAUAAACUGGGAAAUGCCCCUUUGGAACGUCUAAGGGAGCAGAACCUACUUCUCUGCUACCAGAUAGAGACCGCCGCAACUUUUUUCCUGGCAAACUGAUCCCCAUGAUCAUCAGUCUGAAAUCUCUUUUCAAAAGGAAAGACUUGAGGAAGAUGCUAUGCCACUCGCUGGAAGGAAAUAGGAAGAAAUGUGAAUUCUGACUUGGGUGCAGAAGCAUUGGCUUGGAAGGCAUAUAUAGGGUGAGUGGAUGGCGAGUCUAUCUGCUAAGCUCAAUGAGUGAUAAGGAGGUUGCAGCAUAUAGGGCCAAAAGAGAGACAUGGGCUGUUGGGAGUUCACAUGUUGAUGUCUGCCAAACCUCAUAAGACUUUAGAGCUCAUUAUUGCAGCAAACAUCAUGCCCCACCUCUCCUAAAGUCAGGAUUCCUCGCAGGUCCUACUGAAAUCCGAAGAGAUUGUGGUUCAUGUGAACAGCCUCUUGGUUAGUUGGAGAGGACUAUGAACAAACCAUUUCUCAGGACUAAUAAACAACACUCCCAAAUUCGUGGCGCGAUCACUCAUUCAUGACUCAACUAACAGGCCCGUUUCUAGUUCAUAUGGACCUCAAAACGAGUGCUUUGCAAUCCUAUCUAGGCCUUAGCAUAUUACCUUUCCUUUUCUCAGUUGCAAGAAAUAUGAGGUCCUAGAAAUAAAUUGGUGUCAAUCAUACCUUUCUUAAAACCAUUACUCACUAGAAACUUACUCAACAUUUCGUAUUAAGCAUGAGGUGUUUGCUUUAGACCAAUAAGGCUUUCUUCAGUUUGUAGAUAAAGUUUGAUUUUCUAGAAUUUUCAAAUCUUGGAGGUUGUUCCACAUAGAUUUUUUUUGAAUGAAACCAUUGAGAAAAGUACUUUUGAAGUCCAUCUGAAAUAGUUUAAAGUUAUGAAAACAUGCAUAAGCUAAUAGCAGCCUUAUGGUUUCCAACCUAGCUAUAGGUGCAUAUGUUUCAUCAUAGUCUGUUUCUUGUUCUUGUGCAUAUCCUUUUGCCAUGCAUCUUGCCUUGUUUCUGAUCAUUUUUCCCUUUUUAUCCAUCUUGUUUUUGAACACUCAUUUAGUUUUAAUCACAAAUUUUCCUCUUGGUUUGGGAACCAACUUUCAAACAUCAUUGAUCUUGAAUUAUCAAAGUUUUUCUUGCAUUGCUUUCAUCUAGCUUUCAUCGGAUAAAAUUUCUUCUAUUCCCUUUGGUUUCACUUUAGAAACAAGUGCUAAAGCAUUUAGAUCUUCUUUUCCUUUGGAUCCGGUGUAGAUCCCUUCUUCUAUAUUACCAAUAAUGAGGUCUUUAAGAUGACUUAAUUUGUGCUUCCAAUUAUUGUUGAAUUUGUCACUUUCUUCAAGAGUCUCCUGUGGCUCUGUCUGUAUUAAUUCUUUCGUUUUAUCUUCAAUUUAAACAUGUUCAACGGAAGGCUAAUCCUAUCCUGGAGACUCAGACUUUGUUAAAUUUGAGACUAACUUAGAUUCUUCAAGCUGAGUCUGAUCACGUUGAUUCUGACAGCCUUCUUGAAAUCUGACGUUCAUUGAUUCUUCAAUAGUCUAGGUGCUUUUGUUGAAGACUAUGUAUGCCUUGUUGUAGAAUAUCUGAGAAAUAUUCAUUCUUUUGACUUUUCCUCAAACUUACCCAGACGAUCAUUUGUAUUUUUCAAGAUAAAACACUUGCAACCAAAAUAAAUUUCUGCCUUAGUAGAUUUCAUAUGGGGUUUUCAUUAAUGAUAGGCCUAAAAGAUACUUUGUUAAUUUAUAUAGCAAGCAAUAGAGACUGCUUCUGUCUAGAAGUGAGAAGAAACUCUACCUUCAAUUAACAGAGUUUUGGGCAUUUCUUGCAAAGACCGAUUUUUCCUUUCUAUAACUCCAUUAUGUUUUGGAGUGUAAGGGGAAGAGAACAUAUUGAAAACAAUUUUCAUUACAAAAACUUGUAAACUCUUGAUUUUUGAAUUCUCUCAUAUGGUUUGUUUUGAUGUUGGAAAUUGUGUAGCCUUUCUCAUUUUGAACAUUUUUAGCAAACUUUAAAAAGUAAGGGAAGGCUUCUAUUUUUUUUGCUAAAAAGAAGAGGCUUCUAUUUUUUGUUUGCUAUAAAGAAGACCCGUGAAAACAUUGAGUAAUCAUCUACAAUCACUAAACAAUAUUUCUUGCCUCAAAUACUUUGGGUUCUGGCUUAUCUUACGUCCUUUUUUACUUACCCGAAAAAGGGUCAAAUUGUUCGAACCUUUCCCUUUUUCGCCCCCAUGUCGCCAUGCAGGAGGGGCAUGGGGACAUUAAUUUCCUAUUUUUGUAAAAAAAAAUACAAUUAAAAAAAAAGACUCAAAAUGAACGUAUCUUUCUAACAUUCAUUCUUCACCAUCCCAUUGUCGAAAAAAAGAUAUCGUAUGUAUCGAUAAAUUGUCAAAACAAAAAUUUGAUUCUUUUUACGAAUUUGAUAUUGAAAAUCCGCGAAUCUAGAAAUUCAUUUCGGACAAUUGAACCUUCUCAAACCCCGAAAAUAUCCAUGUGAAGGAGCUGCAAAUAUGUUUUAUGGAUUUGAAUGAACUUCUAACCUGUUUUCCCAAAGUGCAUGGAGUACAUAGCCAUAUUAAAGAGACCAUGGACCAGCUCCUUGGAAGAUAGCUUCAUGAUUUGUUUCACUUUAUAGGAUUGAAGAGUUCUAAUGAGUUCAUCAACUGAAAGUGGCAUAAUCCUUUGCGUUUCUCAUAUUGAGGUUUUGACAUGAUUCUAGUUCUUUGAGAGCCCUCGCAGAAGUUUGUUAACAUUCAUUGAAGAAAAAAUUGAUUGUCCUUGAUAUGCCAUACCACUCACAAUUUUUGUGAAAUGACUGAACAUAUCUCCAAUAGAUUCUCUAGACUUCAUUUUGAAAGACUCCUAUUGACCAAGCAAAAUGUUCACUUUUGUUUCUUUUACACGAUUUGUUCCUUCGUAUGUAACAUGAAGUCUAUCCCAGAUUUCUUUGGUUGUUUCACACGAAAAAAUUCUGUUAUACUUAACAGGAGAUAAAGUACAAUAUAAAUAAUAGAUGGCUUUGACAUCAAAGGCCUGUCUCUUGGUAAUUUCUGCUUGAUCGAUUUCUUCAGCAUCUAUUACUUCUUUUCCCUUGUUUGAAGUCAAAACAACCUUUGGAUUAAUUCAUUUUUUCCACAACAUCCCACUCUAGAGGAUCUCUGGAUUCUAGGAAUGCCUUCAUUUUAUUUUUCCACACAUUGUAUUCCUUUCUAUCAAAAUAAGGUGGCUUGGUGUUGUUGUGUCCUUCCACGAGUCUUGGUGCCAAGAUACUAGCCAUAGAAAAUCUUUAGUUUAGAAAUAAGAACACUCCAAGAAGAUGAGCACAAGGCUCUAUACCAAUUGAAGAAGCUAGACAUAACACCUAGAGGGGAGUGAAUAGGUGUUUGAAAGAAAUCUUGACAAAUAAAUCCAAAGUAAAAUAAAUUACAAGCAAAGUCUGGAUGAAAAACAUAAUUAGUUUCAAGGAACACCAGACUUCUUAAUUAGAGAGUGUGCAAUAGACUUAAAAUAAACAGAGUUGAGAGAAGAGAAAAUUGCGUACGAAUUUUAUAAUGGUUUGGCUUAAAUUAAGCUUAUGUAAACUCUUUCACACUAACAGCCUAUUGGCUGGAUUUCACUAUAUGAUCAAUAGAAGAUCACAACUUAUUAGUGCAAACACUCAAUGGUAGAUUUCGCUAGCUCACUAAGACAUUCCUUUUGUGUAUUUCUAUCUUGAUCGCAAUUUGUAAUGCUCACAAACGAAGACAGGUAAUUGAGAGAAGUUUCAGACUUUAGAAUUCUAAUUUCACGUUCCCCUAAUCAACUUGGCCGAAUGACCUUCCUUUAAAUGCUCCUCAAUGCAAUACUAGCCGUUGAACAGAAUCAUUCAAGAAAAUUCUUCCAAUCAAGCCGUUGGAUAGAAUCGUUCAAGGAAAUCUUGUGCCCAUUGACGAUAGGAAUGUAAAUUCCACUUGAUUAUGUUUGUCCAUACAACUAGAAUCUUGGUUUCCAUAAAUGAUGUUUCCUCAUAUGGAACUUACCUUCGAGAUUGAUUUUGUCAAUAUAUAAUUGACUUAAUCAAUGUUUUUGAAUAAGAUAAGUGAAAUCCUUAGCUAGAAGAUAAUCACUGAAGAAUUGUUUUUAGAGGAAGUUCUUUCUGGAUUUGUGUUGCAACAUCACUAGAUCUAGUUCUAGACUAUUCCUUGUUCUAGAUAUUAUAUUGUUUUGGGCUCAUCAAAGAGGGAUAUACUUCUGAAAAAGUAUUGUUAAGAGUCAUUGAAAAUUCUUCCGAAGUAAAGACGAUAGAAGUAGAAAAUUUCAUCAACUUCAAAAUUUGGUAGAAGUUUUCUUUAACAGUCUUUACUCUAUUUGUAUCAUGUUGGGGCAUUUAUGGGUUCCUUAAGAGAUCGUGCUCUUUUAAAUUGAGAAGCAGCUAUAUAUUGGCAUAAAAUGAAGCUGGCUGUCGGGCAAAUUAAAGUAUCACGUGAUCAUCGAGAAAUCUUCCGUUGCCCCAGAAUUUGUUGCAACGGAAUUCUGCCCAACUAUGAGGAGACAGACAAUAAAUAAACUUAAGAAUAUGACUGGUUAGCCAGAACAAGAGGAAUGAUUUGGGUAAGUGUCACCCUUGGCUCAUGAAAAUGCUGAAGAAACCAAAAAGCUAUAUCCUGAUGGCGAAGAAAGUGCCUAAUCUCCUAGCUUAACUAACCUCCCAACUCUGUAUCCGUGCCUCUAGAUCAUUCACUCUCUUCACUUUAACAAACAAGAGUUUUAGCUGGCAGCUUUUAUUCAGAAAUAGACAAACGAGCCAGAUUGAUGACAACUCAGCUUACACCGAAGGACCAACAUUUUUUAUGUAAGAAAAACAUUUUCUUUCCUGUUGAGUUUAACUGAAUAAGUUUUUUUUUUUUGUCAAAAACAUAAGUUAGUAAGCCAUGGAACAUAGAUAAAAGAUUCAUGGGAUAAGUGUUCCAGAAGUCUUAUAAUUUGUCACGAGAAUGUAUUUCAGUCCUAAAACUUGCAAAAAGUGCAUUUAAGUUCUAAAACUUGUCAAAUUGUUUCAAACGAAUCCUAAAAUCGACGCCGUUAGCCUUUUCUGUUAAAAAUGCUGACAUUGCAUUUUAAAUAAUUUUUUAUUUUCCACGUGGAUUUUUAAAUUAUUAUUAUUUUUAAAUAGAUUUAAAAACUAAAAAAAUUAAAUUUAUUCAUUUUAUCUUAUUUUCACCAAAAACUUUUUAAAAAGUUAAAAUAUUUUUUUUUAAAAAAAACAGCGACUCCUCUCCCCCGCUGCCGCCCAUUGCCGGAGGGGCCGGGCGACGGUCGCCAGCGACAGGGGUGGCCGGGCCUCGCCGGCCCCAGGUGAGGGCCGGGCGAGCCUUGCUGGCCCCAAGCGAGGGCCGACAAGACCUCGCCCAAGGCAGACGACAGUCGCUGGCCCCCCCGUGAGGGCCGGCGACGUCUCGCCCAGACGGGAACGGCAGGAAGACAGAAUCACCUCCACCACUACCCCCACGUGACAACCUUGACCUCUAGUGAACCCGAUCUGCAUGCUCCCUUCAGCCCGCAUGCAAGGGCGAGCUGGAGGCGAGCUGGGACUUACCUUGUCCUUCUCUACGACAUAACCGCACGUGAAGACAGCGAGGUCGCCCUGCUCCUCUUGAUCAGAAAGUGGAAGUCGAACAGCCCUCGACGCACCGGCUGAGGGAGGAUGACGCGAUGAAAGUUGAGCAGCGGCAGGAUGCGUAGAACCCGUUGUUCUUCGGCCACUUGGGACCUGUGAGUCUUCACUAGAGCAGACGGCACAAAGUGUGGAAAGGAGUGAGCGAAAGAUAGGAGGGAGGAGACGAGAACCUCUGAGCUAGAUUCUAGAGGUAAGGGAGGACUUGNNNNNNNNNNNNNNNNNNNNNNNNNNNNNNNNNNNNNNNNNNNNNNNNNNNNNNNNNNNNNNNNNNNNNNNNNNNNNNNNNNNNNNNNNNNNNNNNNNNNAGCCGAGUAGAUCAAGAUCCACGCUCCUUAGAUCCUCUCCCGGACUCCAGUGCCUUAGAGAUUAUAGUCGCUCACGUCCACCGAACACAGGAGGAUCUGGAUCAUUUUCUUCGAAUGUCUUCCACAAGGGCUAGCGUCCGUCCUCCCGCCCUGGGAAGAGCUGUCAUCACACCUGGGCGAGGCCGUGUCUGCCCUCGCUCGGGGCCGGAUAGGCUCUCCCAGAUGUAGCGAUCCUCACCGUCCACAAGCGAGGACCGACGAGUUCUCGUUCAGGGUGGGCGACGGUCGCAGACCUUCGCAAGGGGCCAGCGAGGCCCGGAAACAUACCUGCACAAGGCUGCUCUCCGUCGCCCAGCCCCUCCGGAGAUGGGCAGCGGAGAGGAGCCGCGUUGAUUUUUUUUUUUAACAAUUUUAAAAAUAAUUUUUUAAACUUUUCUUUUUAGUUUUUUUGAAAAUAAGAUAAUAAUAAAUUUAAUUUUUUAGUUUUUAAAUCUAUUUUUUUAAAAAAAAUAAUUAAAAAAUACACCUGGAAAAUAAAAAAUUAUUUAAAAUGCCACGUCAGCAUUUUUAACGGAAAAGGCUAACAACGUCAAUUUUAGGACUCGUUUGAAACAAUUUGACAAAUUUUAGGACUUAAAUGCACUUUUUUUAUAAGUUUUAGGACUGAAAUGUAUUUUCGUGACAAGUUUUAGAACUUCUGGAAUACUUAUCCCAAGAUUCAUCACUAUUGCUGUUCAUGAGCAUCCCUGGAGGCCAGAAGCCAACAGAUUGUCGGAUCUUAUGAUAUAAGAAGAGCUUGAAUCGCAUCACCUUUUGUAGUAGGAAAAUCUCACACAGAGUAGAUGCCAUUUUUCUACUUCCUCCUGCAAGAUAACUCCAUUAAUAGUGAAACAAAUGCAGACCCCCAUUGUGAACCAUUUGUUCUUUUGCUAUAAGAUAGAAGUUUCAUGUCUAGAUUUUAUCUUUGUCAUUCAUCACAUCAUACAUCGAUUUUGGCUUUAGAUCUGAAAAACACUGUAAAAUAUGGUGGAACAUAGUCAAAGAAACUGAUAAUGCUUAUCUUUAGUAGUCAUCGACAUUAUAAUGUACAUUUCGACAUACUUUUCCCUGUAUUGAAGGGUAGGCAAAAAUUUUACACCAACAAGUCACUUCUAUUUGCUAAAAUGAACCUAAUGUGUUCCCUAAUCUGUCUUGCUGGUAUCUCUCAUGUCAGAAGACCAAGAAAAGCAUCGAGAAAAGGUAGAAGGAAUGUAGGAGAAGAAAUUUUUUGUAUGCAUUGUAUAUUUUCUAUUGUGUACAAAGUGUAUUUAAUUACAAAGAAAGAGAUUAAUAAAGGAAAAGAAAUAUUCUCCUAUCUUUCUAAUCCUAAAAUAAACAUGAUUCUCUACCUAUCAACAAUUAGAUACGAUUUGAUGAAUCAUGCAACAUAAAUGUUCUGAUGAUAGCCUAUCAAAUGAGAUGUAAGACGAGAUGGGAUAACGAGUACUUGACGAUCUUGAAGAACCACAUAUGUAAUCCUUUGUCCAAGCUGGAGGGCGAGUUGCUAAACUAGAACGUCGUGGAAGUUCUUGUUGCAUUGAAGAGGACUCUUCUUCAGCAGGGGUUGAUUAUGGAUGUUCAGUGAAUUGGGCUGAUUCUUCUAUAUGAGACUCUUCAGUGGAGUGACUCGUAGAUGUCUCAAUAGGUAGUGUAGGCGAUUCACCAGUUGGUCCUGGGAGAGGAGUAGCAAGAAAUGUACCUCCCCAAAGAUAUCUUAUUCCAAUAAGAAUCUUGAAUUCCCUAUCUUCUCAUCUUCAAUUGAAGAAAUAAGAGUUUGGAAAGGAAAAAUAUUCUCAUGAAAAAUAACAUAUCUGCUUACGAAAAAUUCUCCUAUGGAUGGUGCAUAAAUCCGAUACCCCUUUUGCAAAGUAGGAUAUCCCAUGAAUAUACAUUCACUAGCUCGUGGUGCCAUCUUAUCCUUGUGUCCCACUGUAGUGACAUAACAGAGACAUCCAAAAACUCUGAGAUGACUUAGAUUCGGUUUCUUUCCAUACAACAUCUCAAAUGGCGUCUUUCAUUUCAGAAUACGUGAGGGCAUGCGAUUAAUCAAAUAUGCUGCUGUGACCACACAAUCUCCCCAAAAAUUCUCAGGAAUAGAUGCUUGAAAUUUGAGGGCAUGUGCUACUUCUAAGAGAUGACGAUGUUUCCUCUCAACAACACCAUUUUGCUGUGGUGUAUAAGUGCAAGAACUCUCAUGCAAGAUUCCAUUCAGUGAAAAUAAAGAAGCACACUCACUAUUGAAGAACUCCCUUCCAUUAUCAGUUCUAACCCGACGGAUUGUUUUUCCAAAUUGAGUUUUGGACAAGGUAAGGAAUGUUCUUAGGUGAGCAAAGACUUGAUUCUUGGAUUGCAUGAGGAAUAUCCAUGUCGCAUGAGAGAAAUCAUCAACAAUUGUGAGGAAAUAUCGUGACCCAUCGUGAUGCAUAGUAUGAUAGGGUCCCCAAACAUCAGCAUGGAUCAACGAAAAAAAUACUAAUUUGCUUGGGAAUUACUAUUUGGAAAAGGAGCACGUGUUUGCUUUGCCAAAGGACAGAUAGGACACCGGGGACAAGGGAAUAAGGCACUAUGUCCCAAUCUUUUAUGAUGAAGGGAAUUUUUGUCAUUGAUAACAUGGUUACACAAUGAAUUAUUGAAUUCAACAAACGAAAAAUUAAAAUUGUUGGGAAAAUGCAUCCAAAAAUAGAGCCCUUGAUAAGCUUUACCCAAGCCCAUCAGUUUGCCAGUCGAAAUGGCCUGAAGGAAACAAUUAUCUGGAGUGAAUAGGACACGACAUGAAUUUUCUUCAGAAGCUCGAUUAACUGAUAGGAGGUUGAAUUGGAAGUCAGGCACAUAAAGUAUAUUUCGAAGUGUAAUUAGGGGACUAAGAUUCACAGUGCCGGUCAUGACAACUUGUGUGGAAUUUCCAUUUGGAAGUUGUACUGAUAUAGGAAAGAAUAAUUUCUGGAUUUUGGAAAAGAAACCCUUAUCACAGAUUAUGUGAUCACUAGCACCUGAAUCAAUAAUCCAUGCAUUUUUCGAAAUUGAGUUCAUCAAGCAAUAAGAUGUACAUAUGAAGCUUCCAACCUUAUUAGAUGUAUCCAACAUUUUUAAAGCCCUCAUCAAUUCCUGAUACUGCUCAUGGGCAAUUGAUUUUUCUGUUGGUUGACUUAGUACAUGAAAAACUCGUGAAGAUUUUCUUCAUUCUUUUUCUCUAGGUCUCCCAUGUAAUUUCCAACAGUUUUCAAUUGUAUGAUGCGGACGUUUACAAUAGUCACAAUAUGAUUUACCUUUUUCCUUUUUGACCAUUGUUUUUUUGUAGUUGAAAGGAAUCUAUUGUUGGGCUGGAAAAUUUGAGCCGAAGUGGGCCCGUACGGUCCUUCUGGUCCAGUGGGCUAGAUUCCUUGUGGCUCAUUUUUCGCGCGCCUGAAUUCUUCCUCACAACCUGUCGACUUCGUGCAGCCCAUUUGCUCCGGCGAAAGUGCUCCGUGGGCCGUCCGAGAAGGGCCCAGUUGAUAAAAAAGAGAGACCGUUCGAUUGCUCGCCAAGAUCUGAGCCAUCCAUUUGUUCAGCAAAAAACAAGUUAGGGUUUCGCCCCCCCCCCCCCAACCCCCCCGGGUUCGCCCCCUUUUCUCCUCCGAUUUUUUGGGUUUCUUGUGGGGGGGGCUAAUGGGCUCUGGGCGUCAAAGGCCUCGCCUCACUUCCCCCUCCCUAAGUCAUUGUCCUCUGUUGGCUCUCUUCCUGAACGGUGAGCUGGUAGAUCCGGCCAAGAUUUGGCAUGGGAUCCAUUGUUAGGAUCUGGGACCGAAACGAAAGGUAUGUUUCGUUUAAGAUUAGGAGAAACCUAAUUGCCUUUUCUCUCUCGCGCAUGUUCUUGUACUGCAGGAGAACGGGUUCGAGCCAUUCAAAUUUUUCUUCGGCCAAUUCCAUUUCAUUCUAGAGUGCCGACAAUUUAUUGUAAACUGUCGCGACGCUCAUAUUCCCUUGCUUCAAAUCUGAAAUUUGCUGUGUUAUGGAAAAAAUCUUGAUUUGAUCUAGCUUUCCAUACAUCUCUUUAAUAUUGUCCUACAUCUCUUUCGUAUCUUCUGUCGGAGGAAGUCCCAUUGCUACUUCGGGUGAGAUACAAUUCCCAAUCCAAGUUCUAACGAGCUGGUUACAUUUUUUCAAAAAACAAGCCAUUCGCUUGUUGGUUGGAAUCGGAAUUGUUCUGUCUAGAAAACCCUCCUUAUCCUUCGUUACCAAGGUAUGCCGGAGUUCCCGCGACCAAGUCGAGUAAUUCUCUGGGCCCGUCAAUAGCUAACUGAUCAGUUUCAGUUUUGGUCCGUCGGCGUUCAUUGUGUACAGAGGGUCGCUAAGCUCCGACCAUCCUCCGGCAGCAAGGAUCUGAUAAGGAAAAAAACCAGGUGAAAAAUUUAGGUAGGUAUUCGCCCCUACAUUUGCUCUGUUUUCUUGACCCGCAUUAAGGAAAUUUGGGUAGGGAUUCAUCCCCCCGAUUCACUAGAUCCGCCCGUCUGCUCCGAGCCGAAGGUAGAGCCUGCCCCACUAUUGGUUGGUGCGCCUCCGUCGGUCCGCACGUUGCUUUGAUACCCCGGCUGUGAUGUAUGUGGGUUUACCCCCAUGGAUCCAUGGAUAUGGCAUCCACUGCUAAGAAUGGCCCGAAUAGGGAUGCCCCAAGUUGAAUUGAGCCGGAAGAUUUUUCCAUUGCAUGUGUGGAGACCGGAUCUGGCUUUGGCUGAAUUGUUGCUCCGCCAUGGUCGUCACAACGGUUGAAUCUGGAUUGUGCGUACUCUGUGGCGUUGCAUCUCUCGCUGGCUGGUCAUUUGGUUUUAAGGUGAGAGCUUCCGAUUUGUUCAUUGUAAAAGAAAUUUUUCAAGAGGGAUUGAUUCCUUUCGGUAACUGUUUUGCAAGUUACCAUUCCUCAAGGCAGUCAGGAAUGGUGGACGUGGAAGCUAUGCCAGAAUCGCAGGAAGCUCUGAUACCAUGUCAGAAGACCAAGAAAAGCAUCGAGAAAAGUUAGAAGGAAUGUAGGAGAAUAAAUUUUUUGUAUUCACUGUAUAUUUUCUAUUGUGUAGAAAGUGUAUUUAAUUACAAAGAAAGAGAUUAAUAAAGGAAAAGAAAUAUUCUCCUAUCUUUCUAAUCCUAAAAUAAACAUGAUUCUCUACCUAUCAACAAUUAGAUACGAUUUGAUGAAUCAUAUCUUUCAACAUCUCACGAUCUGUUCAUGUGAGAUGUCAGAUUGAGGAAAACUUCUUCACAAGGAAUCCUAAGGCCACCCAUCGGAUGAUCGAACCCAAACUCUUCUUCAGCUCGACUAGCAAGUCUUGAAAUGAAGGCCGAGUUAAACGAGAUAUUGGAACUACAUAUCUCCGCUUCUGGGUGUCUCCAACAUAAACUGCAAAAUAGCCCCUGGGCACACCAAUGGCCAUUGGAACUGCCUGCUUUUCAGUAAAUAGAGAUCAUCAAAUAAUCUACUUAGCGAGUCCGACAAUGGGCAAAUGGCUUCCCAUGAUUAUAUUUCUGCAUAAACUUUUAGAGAAGAGAAAACAAGAUCUACCCUUAAUUGUAUUGCUAUCUCUCUAGUAAGAAAAUGUGAAUUGAUCAGUUCUAUGUUGUUUGUAGAACUCAUCAAUCGGUUCUACUUAUAUAGAUGAGCUAUAGGUGGAAUUUAAUGUGUCAUGUUGAAUAUGUGUAGGAAUAGUCAUCUAACAUGCAUGGCCCAGGUAAGAAACAUAAGCCUUUAAGAGGUCACAUGGUAUUGUUUUCCAGCUAAUGAACUAAUGAUGUCUAUUUCAGGAAUGAAACUGAAGACACAAUGCCCCACUUCAGAACAUUUGAUAGAGGUCCUGAUAAUUCCCUGGAGAGAGUGGUGGCAUGAGCCUCUUGAUAAAAUUUGGUGGAACAUGGUGGACCACUUUUACUGACCAACAUGUUUGAGAAAUCAGCCAAUGUUGCCACAUGAGUAGUAGGGUCAUCUGAAAAUGAUCCUUGCCUACACAUGAUUUAAUAUCAUGGGGUAGUUGUUUUGGGAAGAAAAUGAGGUUCGGUGAAGUGGCAUAUUACGCCCUGGAUAUAACAAGUCUUGUAUUGACUGUAUAAAAAUAGUCGGUUCUAAUCUAAAUACAGUCCAUUGGCCACAAUUUGUGUCCUAGCUGCAUAUUUUGCUGUAGUUUGCCUCCGGAUCAAUGAAUGGUUUAUAGUAAAACAUGUAUUAGACAAAAAAUCAAAAUGUUGCAGAAAAAACUGGAAAUUACAGAGAUUCAGUCCUUAAAAAGCGAAAAUUCAAGAGGGUAGGCAAAACAUUUGCCUAAAAGUUCGUUGGGGCUGCAGACUUGUAAUCUGCUGAUUUUAUGGAAAAAUUACAAGAUCCAGCCAGCAGGUUCCUGGCAUAUAUGAAGUUAAGAGCGGGAAAAAUGAGAGUUAACAGCUCAAUGAGAUGUAACAGCCCUGUAAACUUCGUGAGGGAAAUUUUUGAUGGAGAUGCAGAUUUCAUUUUGCAAUCUAUUCUUUAGCCUUCAGUUUAUUCACUUGAUUUACAAAAAGAUCUAAUUGACCUUUUUGGUCUCCAAUCCUUGUCAUACGCCAAUUCUUGGUUAGGUCGUGGUGAGAAAAACAAUGUACUGCAACUCUGGACAGUAGCAUAUAGAAGCAACUCUUGGAUACUUCUUUUCUUCGAACCAUUGUCAGUUCACAUAAAACAAGAGGUGGAAACAAGAGUGCCUCUAGCACAGUAUGAUCAUACUGAAGAUCAGUUGGUAAUGAAGUAUAUAUCCUUAAGACUGAAUUUCUUUGCUUCCAGCACAAAGUCAUUGCCAAAAUGAUGAAUUGAUCACUAGGACAACCAGAUAUCCACAUAUAGAGAAUCAAUGUUAUUGAUCAACAUUGCAUCUUCAGUUGUACAUCUAUCUCCUUAAACUGUUACUCGCUAAACAAGAGGUAAAAAGAUCUACACUGGUCGUAAAAUUUGUUUACAAAAUCGUGUCAGGUCUAUCGACUAAUCUAUCUAGGAGUUCUCUAGUCAGGAUUGAUUAUCCAUCUAUGAGGCUGAGGAAAACUUCUUCAUUGAACGGAAUCGUGAGGCCUCCCAUUGGAUGAUUGAAGCCAAACUCCUCCUCAGCUUGAUUCAGCAGGUCCUGGAACAAGGGCCGAGAUAAGUAUGACAGAGGAACAUGGUCCUGUCUUGCAACUCAUCAACAGGAACUUUAAUAUCGAUCGAGACUAUUCAUUUUGUAUUGGAGUGCACCCUAUGCCCUACCACAGCCAGCAUAAGAAACCGGUGAAAAGGACCACCAGGAAGACAAGAAGGGUGGACAAGGUCACUUGCAAUGCCAAUUAUGGCGAAUCAUUGCUGAAGCAGAGGGAGGAGUAUUUAGAAGUUGUCAGAAUUAGCUCUUCAAAGAGCUGUAGUUGCUGGGUGAGUGGCCAGGCCUCCGAAAUCAAUGACUUAUUUGUUGAAGAAGUCAAAAUCAAUUGGACAUAAACCGGGAGGUUGUGCUCAUUGGUCAUAUCUGUGAUGAAACAUUUUAUAAGUGAACUUUAACUAACACUCAAUGACCAGUAAAGCAGCUUAGUAUAACUAUGCCAUCUGUUUUUUCUUUGUUUUCGUGGUAUUUACUUAAUUUGUAUCAAUGUUUUUGGCAUUUAUCGGUAACUUAGAGAUCAUGCUCUUUUAAAUGCGUAAGCAGCUUCACAUCGGCCUAAAAUAAAGCUGGCUGCAGAGCAAGUUAUAGUAUCACGUGAUCAUCAAGAAAUCUUCCAUUGCUCCUGAACCUGUUACAGCAGAAUUCUGCCCAACUAUGAGGAGACAAUAAUUAAACUUAAGAAUGUGACUGGAUAGCCAGGACAAAGGGAAUGAUUUGGGUAAGUGUCACCCUGCCUAGCGAGGCCGGCGGUGGGAAAACGGAUUCCCAUGACUAUAUUUCUUUGUAAACUUUUAGAGAAGAGAAAACGAGAUUGACCUUUGACUGUAUUGCUCUCUCUGAUAAGAGAAAGUGAAUUGUUCAGUUCUAUGUUGCUUGUUAUAUUCAUCAAUAAAUUUUACUUAUUUAGAUGAGCAGGAGGUGAAUUUCAUGUGCCAUGUCGACUAUGUGGAGGAAGUCAUCUAACAUGCAUGGCCCAGGGAAGAAACAUAAGCACUUGAGAGGUCACAUGGUAUUGUUUUCCAGCUAAUGAACUAAAUGUGUCCAUUUCAGGAAUAAAACUGAAGACAUAAUGCCCCACUUCAGAACAUUUAAUAGAGGUCCUGAUAAUUUCCUGGAGAGAGUGGUGGUACGAGAUCCUCUUGUGAAAAUUUGGCAGAACAACGGUGUGCCACUCGUACAAACUAACAUGUUUGAGACAUUAGCCAAUGUUGCCCCGAGUAGUAGGGUCACCUGAAAAUGAUCCUUGCUUAGGUAUGGUUUAAUAUCAUGGGGUAAUUGUUUUAUGCAGAAAAUAAGGUUCGGUGAGGUGGCAUAUUGCGCCCUGGAUACUACAAGUGUUAUAUUAACUGCAUUGCAAUAGUUGGAUCUAAUCUAAAUGCUGUCCAUUGGCCACUAUUUGCGUCCUAAUUGCACAUUUUCCUGUACUUCACCUCCAAAUCAAUCAAUGGUUUAUACUAAAACAUAUACUGGAUUAGAAAAAAAAUUAAAAUGUUGGGGAAAAAACUGGAAAUUACAGAGAUUCAGUCCUUAAAAAGUGAAAAGUCAAGAGGGUAGGCAAAACAUUUGCCUACAAGUUUGUUGGGGCUGCAGACUUGUAAUCUGCUGAUUUUAUGGAAAAAUUACAAGAUCCAGCUAGCAGGUUCCUGGCUUAUUAUUAAGUUAAGAGUGGGAAGAAUGAGAGUUAACAGCUAAAUGAGAUGUAACAGCCUGUAAACUUCAUGAGGGAAAAAUUUUGAUGGAGAUGCAGAUUGAUUUUGCAAUCUAUUAUUUAGCCCUUCAGUUUAUUCACUUGAAUAAACUGAUCAUACUAAAGAUCAGUUGGUUAUUAGGUAUAUAUCCUUAGACUGAAUUUCUUUGCUUCCAGCAGAAAGUGAAUACCAGAAGGACGAAUAAAUCACUAGGAAAACCAGAUAUCCACAUAUAGAGAAAUCAAUGUUAUUGAUCUAAAUUGCAUCUUCAAUUGUACAUCUGUCUAUCUCCUUAAACCAGUACUCCCUAAACAAGAGGGAAAAACAUCUACACUGGUCAUAAAAUUUGUUUACAAAAUCGUGUCAAGUGUAUUGACUAAUCUAUCUAGGAGUUCUCUAGUCAGGAUUGAUCAUCCAUCUAUUAGGCUGAGGAAAACUUCUUCGUUGCAUGGAAUCAUGAGGCCUCCCAUUGGAUGAUCGAAGCCAAACUCCUCCUCAGCUUGAUUCAGCAGGUCCUGGAACGAGGGCCGAGAUAAGUAUGACAGAGGAACGAUGAAUCUCUUCUUCUGGUUUUCUCCUACAUAAACUGGAAAAUGCCCCUUUGGAACGUCCAAGGGUGCAGAAUCUCCUUCUCUGCGACCAGAUAGAGACCGCCGCAACUUUUUUCCUGGCAAGCUGAUCCCCAUGAUCACGUGUCUGGAAACUCUUUUUCAAGAGGAAAGACUUGAGGAAGAUGCUAUGCCACUCGCUGGAAGGAAAUAGGAAGAAAAUUGAAUUCUGAUUUGGGUGCAGAAGCAAUGGCUUGGUAAUGUAUAUAUAGGGUAAGUGGAUGGCAAGUGAGUUUAUCUGCUAAGCUGAAUGAGUGACAGGAGGUUGCAGCAUAUAGGGCCAAAGGAGAGACAUGGGCCGUUGGGAGUUCACAUGUUAAUGUCUGCCAAAUCUCAUGAAACUCUAGAGCUCAUUAUUGGAGCAAACAUGAUGCCCCACAUCUCCUGAAGACAGGAUUCCUCCCAGGUCCUACGGAAAUCUGAAGAGAUUGUGGUUGAUGUGAACAUUUCUAAGAUUUCUGACCAUGUUUUUGCUCACUAUCACAGAGAAAACACAAAUGCAUGGUGUAGGGCAAAGUUCGUCUGCCUAAUUUGGUGCCCCUAUCUCCUGUACUGCAUACAAAGAUUAGAAACACAUCUAGAUAGGAACUACCUUUUUUUAUCCCAAUUUUGUGAGGCAUUUGUUCUCUGGUUUGUUCAAGAGAUAUAUUCACCUGAAGGUUCACAUGGUCCUGUCUUCCAACUCAUCAUCAGGAACUUUGAUAAUGAUUGAGACUUUCAUUUUGGGUUAGAGUGCACUCUAUGCCCUACCAUAUGUGGCAUAAGAAACCGGUGUAAGGGACCACCAGGAAGACAAGAAGGGUGGAAAAGGUCACUGGUAAUUUAUGGUGAAUCGUCUCUGAAGCAGAGGGAGGAAUAUUUAGAAGUUUUCAGAAUUAGCUCUACAAAGAGCUGUGAUUGCUGGGUCAGUGGCCAGCGUGUCCGAAAUCAAUGACUUAUUUGUUGAAUAAGCCAAAAUCAAUUGGACAUAAACCCAAGGGCUGUGCUCAUCGGUUGGUCGUGUCAGAGAUUGAAACAUUUUUUAAAUCAACUACAACCAACACUUAAAACUCAAUGACCAGUAAAGCAGCUUGGUAUAACUAUGCCUUCCGUUUUUUCUUUGUUUUCUCUAUUUGUAUCAAUGUUUGGGCGUUUAUGGUUUCCUUAGAGGCCGUGAUCUUUUAAAUGCAGAAGCAGCUAUAUGUUAGCAUAAAAUGAAGCUGGCUGUCACGCAAAUUAAAGUAUCACGUGAUCAUCGAGAAAUGUUCCAUUACCCCAGAAUUUGUUACAACAGAAUUCUGCCCAACUAUGACUAAAUAGCCAGGACAAAAGGAAUGAUUUGGGCAAGUGUCACCCUUGGCUCAUGAAAAAGCUGAAGAAACCAAAAAGCUAUAUCUUGAUGGCGAAGAAAGUGCCUAAUCUCCUAACUUAACUAAUUUUCCCAAUCUAUCCCUUCGCCUCCGGAUCAUUCACUCUCUUCAGUUAAACAAACAGAAGAAUUUCGUCUGGCAGCUAUUAUUCAGAAAGAAACAAAUAAGCCAGAUUGAUGACGGCUCAGCUUACACCAAAGGACCAACCUUUUUACGUAAGAAAAACAUAUUUUUCCUGUUUAUGUUAACUGCAUAAGUUAGUUUGACAUGGAACAUAGACAAAAGAUUCAUCACUAUUUGCUGUCCAUGAGCAUGCCCGGAGGCCAGAAGUCAAGAGAUUGUCUGAUUUUUUUAUGAGUGUUGGAAAUUUUCUAUAAUAUGAACUUACAUUAAUUAACUAAUUUUUAUAUUUCAAAUACUCGAGUUAAUGAAUAUUCCAAUAUUUGUUAAACUUUAAAAUGAUCUUAUUGAAUUGGGUUUUGGCAUCUGUUAAUAACAGAUCUAGUUGAGUAGGCUUACAUUAAUUAAUGAAUUUUCUAUUUCAAAUAUUCGGGUUAAUGAAUAUUCCAAUAUUUGUUAAACCAUAAAGUGAUUUUAUUGGAUUGGGUUUUGGUAUCUAUUAAUAACGGGCUUAGUUGAGUAGCAAAAUGUAGGUAAUUACAUACUAUUAAUUAUGGUUUGUUAGGUCCCUCUCUAGCCUAUAAAAUGGUAGGUUAUAGCUUAAUCCCAUUGAAAGUUGUUAUACUGAAUAUCUGGCAUUCCUAUAGAUCUUCUCAUUGAUGUAUUAUUUCAUCGAGAUCUAAUCCAAAUCACGAAGUCAUUUUCUUGUUCCUGAAUGAGCUUUUUUUUCAAUUCUUUAGGUUUAUGUUCUACUCUGAGUAAAAAAAACUGCUCAAUUUUUUUUUUUGGUAAAGGAAGAAUAAAAAAAAAAACUGCUCAAUUUUUAUUUGCACAUAUAGGACAAAUGACACUAAUACUGCGUCUUUUUUCUACGACUUACUUUUUUUUUUUUCAAUUCAAUUAUAAGAGUGAUCUAUUUUUCUUCAAGUGAAGCAAUGGCUCAAACAGGUAUGUUUUAUUCCACUAUGUUUAUCGAUUUCGGUAUUUUACAGACAUAUAUGGAUCUAAUUAUUCUUGAUUUAUUAGUUGUUUAUGGGGAUAAGUAUACUAAUGGUGCCAUAAAUUGUGUACGGCGGUCACUUUGGUGCCAAAAGUUUCCGCCGGAUCACUUAAGUGCCAAAUUGGAGGAAAAACGAUCACUUUGGUGCCACCGAAGAUAGAUUCCGGCCAAAAUGAUUACGUGGCUUUUAUAUUUAAAAAAAAAAAAUCGAGAAGCCUUUUAAACGACGACGUUUUGCCAUCCUACGUGGAUACCCUCACAAAAACGAUGCCGUUGUCGUUUUGUUAAUUUUAUUUGGAGAUUGAAAUUAUGGUUUUUUUGUCCGCCAUUGCUCGUCCACUGUCGCUCAGCCGCCGUCCCUCAGCCACCGUCACUUGGCCGACGUCCCUCGGCCACCGUCGCUUAGCCGCCAUCCCUCAACAUCUAUUGUAGUUGCUUGCCACAGUAAGACAAAAGAAAGAAAGAAAAAAAAACGAACAGAAAAUCCCGAGAAAGAGGGAGGUGUCGACGAUGAGGGCGGAGGAGGGGAUGGCGGGGCCACGGCCGCCGCCUUCAUAGCAGCUGGCUUCGCCAACAACCUCCGUGGCGUUCCAGAUCUUCGCAGCUACCAUUGGCCAGAUCGCUCGUGCUUCUGGGGAUUCUUCGAGCUCACGUUUCCUCUGCACCCAAUGAUAUUUCUUAGGAAAAUGCGGUGGUGAGGCUGAGAUUCGGGGAUUUGAAAGGUUGAUAAGGUGAUUAAGAAUGGGGGAAAACUACUGGGGGAGGGAGGAGGCGAAUGUGUGGUUUCUUUUCUGGAAAAUUACUAGUGUUGCUGGUGCUCCGAUGCUGGUGUUGUUGGUUUGGUGCUGUUGGUGUUGCUGGAUCUGUUCGGGGAAGAAGACGAAUCUGCUCGAGGAAGAAGACGACUCAAAACGGCGUCGUUUGGGGAUUUAGAGUUUUGAAUUCGGGGGAAAGACAUAAAACAGCAUCGUUUUGGUGUUAGGAUGCUAAAACGACGUCAUUUGAAGGCCUAAGUGAUCUAAUCGAAACUUCGGUGAGCCACAUCAGCAUAAGAAAUUAAUAAAAAAAUGACAUGUCAGAUUUCCGGCCGAUCAGAUCAGCGUUAACACCAAAGUGAGCGUUUUUCAAAUUUUUUGGCACUUAAAUGAUCUGACGGAAACUUUUAGCACUAAAGUGAGCGCCAUACACCAACUUAUGCACCAUUAGUGUACUUAUCCCGUUGUUUAUGUGAAUAAUUUUUUACAAUGAAAAGAGCUUGAAUCGCAUCAUCUUUUGCAAUAGGAAAAUCUCAGAGAGAGUAGGCGCCAUUUUUCUUCUUCCUCCGGCAAGAGGACUCCAUUAAUGGUGUAACAAAUGCAGACCCCUGUUGUGAACCAUUCGUUCUUUUGCUACAAGAUAGGAGUUUCAUGUUUAGAUUGUAUCUUUGUCAUUCAUCACAUAAUACGCGUGCUAUGUUCGUGAUUUUUGCUUCAGAUCUAAAAGUUGCUAUUAAAUAUGGUGGAACAUACUCCAAAAAACUGAUGCUGCUCAUCUUAAAUAAUCAUUGACAUUGUAAUGUACAUUUUUACAUACUUCUCCCUGUAUUGAGGGGCAAAAAAUUUAACACCGAGUCACUCCUAUUUACAAAGCUGAACCUAAUGUCUUCCUUAAUCUGUCUUGUUGGUAAAUUUCACGAUUCGUUCAUGUGAGAUGUCAGAUUGAGGAAAACUUCUUCUUCACAAGGAAUCCAAAGGCUGCCCAUCAGAUUAUCGAACCCAAACUCUUCUUCAGCUCGACUUAGCACUGUUCAUGUGCCAUGUUGAAUACAUGGAGGAACGGUCAUCUAAAAUGCAUGGUCCAGGUAAGAAACAUAAGCACUUGAGAGGUCACAUGGUGUUGAUUUCCAGCUUUUGAACUAAUGACGUCCUUUUCAGGACAGAAACUGAAGACAUAAUGCACCAUUUCAGAACAUUUAAUAGAGGUCCUGAUAGUUUCCUGGAGGGAGUGGUGGUAUGAGAGCCUCUGGUUAACAUCCAGUGGAACAUCAGCGUACCACUUGUACCAACUUAAUAUGUACGAGAAAUUAGCCAAUGUGGCCCCAUGAGUAGUAGGGUCACCUGAAAAUGAUCAUUGCUUAGCAGUGGCUUAAUAUCACGGGGUAGUAGUAGGGUCAACUGAAAAUGACCACGCUAAAGAUCAAUCGGUAAUGAGGUAUAUAUCCUCAGACUGAAUUCUUUGCUUCCAGCACAAAGUAAUUACUGAAAGGAUGAACCGAUCACUAGGAAAACAAGAGAUCCACAUAUUUAUGAGAAUCAAUGUUAUUGAUCCAAAUUGCAUCUUCAAUUGUACAUCUGUCUUUCUCCUUAAAUUGGUACUCCCUAAAACAAGAGGGAAAAAUAUCUACACCGUUUGUAAAAUUUGUUUACAAAAUCGUGUCAAGUGUAUUGACUAAUCUCUCUAGGAGUUCUCUAGUCAGGAUUGCUCAUCCAUCUAUGAGGUUGAGGAAAACUUCUUCAUUGCACGAAAUUGUGAGGCCUCCCAUUGGAUGAUCGAAGCCAAACUCCUCCUCAGCUUGACUCAGCAGGUCCUGGAACGAGGGCCGAGAUAAGCAUGACAGAGGAACGAUGAAUCUCUUCUUUUGGUUUUCUCCUACAUAAACUGGGAAAUACCCCUUUGGAACGUCUAAGGGAGCAGAAUCUACUUCUCUGCGACCAGAUAGAGACCGCCGCAACUUUUUUCCUGGCAAACUGAUCCCCAUAAUCAUAAGUCUGAAAUCUGUUUCCAAAAGGAAAGACUUGAGGACGAUGCUAUGCCACUUGCUGGAAGGAAGUAGGAAGAAAUGUGAAUUUUGAUUUGGGUGCAGAAGCAAUGGCUUGGUAAUGUAUAUAUAGGAUGAGUGGAUGGCAAGUGAGUCUAUAUGCCAAGCUGAAUGAGUGAUGAGGAGGUUGCAGCAUACAGGGCCAAAGGAGAAACAUGGGCUGUUGGGGGCUCACAUGUCAAUGUCUGCCAAACCUCAUGAAACUCUAGAGCUCAUUAUUGCAGCAAACAUCAUGGCCCACGUCUCCUGAAGACAGGAUUCCUCACAGGUCCUACUGAAAUCUGAAGAGAUUGUGGUUGAUGUGAACUACCUCUCUCGGUUAGUUGGAGAGGACUCCUUAACAAACCAUUUGUCCCAGGACUAAUAAACAGCCCUCCCAAAUUUGUGGUGUGAGUCACUCACUCACGACUCAACUAACAGGCCAUUUUCCACUUCAUACGGACCUUCACCCUAAAAUGAGUGCCUUACAAUCCUAUUUAGGCUUGAGAAUAUUACCUUUUCCUUUUCUCAAUUGCAGGAAACAUGGCACUCAAGAAGUAUUGUGGGUUUCAAAUGGAUAAAAUAUGAUGCUUUCCUGGAGAGAGUGGUGGUACAAGAUCCUCCUGUUAAAUUUGGCAGAACAACAGCGUACCACUUGUACCAACCAACAUGUUUGAGACAUUAACCAAUGUUGCCACAUGAGUAGCAGGGUCACCUGAAAUGACAUGGCUUAGCAGUGGUUUAAUAUCACGGGGUAGUUGUUUUAUCAAGAAAAUAAGGUUUGGUGAUGUGGCAUAUCACACCCUGGAUAAUACAGGUCUUGUAUUGACUGUAUGGCAAUUCCUGGAUCUAAUCUAAACACUGUCCAUUGGCCACAAUUUGUGUCCUGGUUGCGCACUUUGCUGUACUUCACCCCUGAAUCAAUCAAUGGUGUAUAUGCAAACAUGUACUGGAUCAGAUGAAAAAUUCAAAUGUUUGGGGAACAAAGAAAAACCAGAAAUUACAGAGAUUCAGGCCUAGAAAAGCAAAAGUUGAGAGGGUAGGAAAAAUGUUUGCCUCCAAGUUCGUCAUGCGGCAGACUUAUAAUAUACUGAUUCUAUGGAGAAAUUUACAAGAUUCAGCCACCUAGUUCCUAGCUUAUAUGAAGUUAAGAAUGGCAGAAAUGGUAGUGACAUCUAAAUCCAGAUAUAACACCCCUUUAAACUUCAUUUGGAAACAAUUUAGAUGGAGAUACACAUUUCAUUUUGCAAUCUACUGUUUAGCUCCAGUUUAUUGACUUGAUCUACAAUAGAUCUAAUUGACCUUUUCGUCUCCAUUCCUUGUCAUGCAAAAAAUCUUUUAGGCCGUGCCGAGAAAUAGAACGAUUACCACAACUCUGAACAGUAGCAUGUAAAAGCAAGUCUUGUAGAUUAUUUUUCUCAGAACCAUCGCCAGUUCACAUAAAACAAGAGGAAACAAAAGUGCUUUUAGCAGAAGCUAAUCACACAAAAGAUCAAUCUGUAAUGAGGUAGAUAACCAGAGACUCAACUUCUUUACUUUCGGCACAGAGUGAUUACCAAAAGGAUGAAAUCGAUCGCUAAGAACACCACAUAUCAACAUAUUCAUGAAAAUCAAUGUCAUUGAUCCAAAUUGCAUCUUCAAUUGUACAUCUGUCUAUCUCCUUAAACCGGUAGUCCCUAAACAAUAGGGGAAAAUAUCAACACCAGUCGUAAAAUUUGUAUACAAAUCGUGUCAAGUGUAUCAACUAAUCUAUCUAGGAGUUCUCCAGUCAGGGUUGAUCAUCCAUCUAUGAGGCUGAGGAAAACUUCUUCAUUGCAUGGAAUCAUGAGGCCUCCAAUUGGAUGGUCGAAGCCGAACUCCUCCUCAGCUUGAUUCAGCAGGUCCUGGAAUGAGGGCCGAGAUAAGUAUGACAGAGGAAUGAUGAAUCUCUUCUUUUGGUUUUCUCCCACAUAAACUGGGAAAUGCCCCUUUGGAACGUCUAAGGGAGCAGAACCUACUUCUCUGCUACCAGAUAGAGACCGCCGCAACUUUUUUCCCGGCAAACUGAUCCCCAUGAUCAUCAGUCUGAAAUCUCUUUUCAAAAGGAAAGACUUGAGGAAGAUGCUAUGCCACUCGCUGGAAGGAAAUAGGAAGAAAUGUGAAUUCUGACUUGGGUGCAGAAGCAUUGGCUUGGAAGGCAUAUAUAGGGUGAGUGGAUGGCGAGUCUAUCUGCUAAGCUCAAUGAGUGAUAAGGAGGUUGCAGCAUAUAGGGCCAAAAUAGAGACAUGGGCUGUUGGGAGUUCACAUGUUAAUGUCUGCCAAACCUCAUAAAACAUUAGAGCUCAUUAUUGCAGCAAACAUCAUGCCCCACCUCUCCUGAAGUCAGGAUUCCUCGCUACUGAGAUCCGAAGAGAUUGUGGUUCAUGUGAACAGCCUCUUGGUUAGUUGGAGAGGACUAUGAACAAACCAUUUCUCAGGACUAAUAAACAACACUCCCAAAUUCAUGGCGCAAUCACUCAUUCAUGACUCAACUAACAGGCCCUUUUCCAGUUCAUAUGGACCCCAAAACGAGUGCGUUGCAUCUAGGCUUUAGCAUAUUACCUUUCCUUUUCUCAGUUGCAGGAAAUAUGAUGUCCUAGAAAUAAAUUGGUGUCAAUCAUACCUUUCUUAAAACCAUUACUCACUAGAAACUUACUCAACAUUUUGCAUUAAGCAUGAGGUGCUUGCUUUAGACCAUUUAAGGCUUUCUUCAGUUUGUAGAUAAAGUUUGAUUUUCUAGAAUUUUCAAAUCUUGGAGGUUGUUCCACAUAGAUUUCUUCUUGAAUGAAACCAUUGAGAAAAGUACUUUUGAAGUCCAUCUGAAAUAGUUUAAAGUUAUGAAAACAUGCAUAAGCUAGUAGCAGCCUUAUGGUUUCCAACCUAGCUAUAAGUGCAUAUGUUUCAUCAUAGUCUAUUUCUUGUUCUUGUGCAUAUCCUUUUGCCGUGCAUCUUGCCUUGUUUCUGAUCUUUUUCCAUUUUUAUCCAUCUUGUUUUUGAAUACUCAUUUAGUUUUAAUCACAAAUUUUCCUCUUGGUUUGGGAACCAACUUUCAAAUAUCAUUAAUCUUGAAUUAUCAAAGUUUUUCUUGCAUUGCUUCUAUCCAGCUUUCAUCAGAUAAAAUUUCUUAUAUUCCCUUUGGUUUCACUUUAGAAACAAGUACUAAAGUAUUUAGAUCUUCUUUUCCUUUGGAUCCGGUGCAGAUUCCUUCUUCUAUAUUACCAAUAAUGAGGUCUUUUUUUUUUUUAACAGGAAUAAUGAGGUCCUUAAGAUGACUUAAUUUGUGCUUCCAAUUAUUGUUGAAUUUGUCACUUUCUUCAAGAGUCUCCUGUGGCUUUCUCUAUUAAUUCUUUCUUUUUAUCUUCAAUUUAAACUUGUUCAACGGAAGGCUGAUCCUAUCCUAGAGACUCAGACUUUGUUAAAUUUGAGACUAACUUAGAUUCUUCAAGCUGAGUCCAAUCAUGUUGAUUCUGAUAGGCUUCCUGAAAUCUGACGUUCAUUGAUUCUUCAACAGUUUAGGUGCUUUUGUUGAAGACUUUGUAUGCCUUGUUGUAGAGUAUUUGAGAAAUAUUCAUUCUUUUGACUUUUCCUCAAACUUACCUAGACCAUCAUUUGUAUUUUUCAAGAUAAAACACUUGCAACCAAAAACAUGAAGGUAUAAAUUUCUGCCUUAGUAGAUUUCAUAUGGGGUUUUAUUAAUGAUAGGCCUAAAAGAUACUCUGUUAAUUUAUAUAGCAAGCAAUAAAGACUGCUUCUGUCUAGAAGUGAGAAGAAACUCUACUUUCAAUCAACAGAGUUUUGGGCAUUUCUUGCAAAGACCAAUUUUUCCUUUCUAUAACUCCAUUAUGUUUUGGAGUGUAAGGGGAAGAGAACAUAUUGAAAACAAUUUUCAUUACAAAAACUUGUAUACUCUUGAUUUUUGAAUUAUCUCCUAUGGUUUGUAUUGAUUUUGGAAAUUGUGUAGCCUUUCUCAUUUUGAACAUUUUUAUCAAACUUUAAAAAGUAAGAGAAGGCUUCUGUUUUGUUUGCUAAAAAGAAGAGGCUUUUGUUUUGUUUGCUAAAAAGAAGACCCAUAAAAACAUUGAGUAAUCAUCUACAAUCACUAAACAGUAUUUCUUGCCUCAAAUACUUUGGGUUUUGGUUAGUUCGAAAAUCUCCAUGUGAAGGAGCUGCAAAUAUGUUUUAUGGAUUUGAAUGAACUUCUAACCUGUUUUCCCAAAGUUCAUGGAGUACACAGCCAUAUCAAAGAGACCAUGGACCAGCUCCCUGGAAGAUAGCUUCGUGAUUUGUUUCGCUUUAUAGGAUUGAAGAGUUCUAAUGAGUUCAUCAACUGAAAGUGGCAUAAUCCUUUGUGUUUCUCAUAUUGAGGUUUUGACAUGAUUCUAGUUCUUUGAGAGCCCUCACAGAAGUUUGUUAACAUUCAUUGAAGAAAAAAUUGAUUGUCCUUGAUAUGCCAGACCACUCACAAUUUUUGUGAAAUGACUAAACAUAUCUCCAAUAGAUUCUCUAGGCUUCAUUUUGAAAGAUUCCUAUUGACCAAGCAUAAUGUUCACUUUUGUUUCUUUUACACGAUAUGUUCCUUCGUAUGUAACAUGAAGUCUAUCCCGGAUUUCUUUGAUUGUUUCACACACAAAAAUUCUGUUAUACUUAAUAGGAGACAAAGUACAAUAUAAAGAAUAGAUGGCUUUGACAUCAAAGGCCUGUCUCUUGGUAAUUUCUGCUUGAUCAAUUCCUUCAGUAUCUAUUACUUCUUUUCCCUUGUUUGAAGUCAAAACAACCUUUGGAUUAAUUCCUUUUUCCACAACAUCCCACUCUAGAUGAUCUCUGGAUUUUAGGAAUGGAUUCAUUUCAUUUUUUUCACACAUUGUAUUCCUUUCCAUCAAAAUAAGGUGGCUUGGUGUUGUUGUGUCCUUUCACAAGUCUUGGUGCCAUGAUACUAGCCAUAGAAAAUCUUUAGUUCAUAAAUAAGAACAGACGAGCACAAGGCUCUAUACCAAUUAAAGAAGCUAGACAUAACACCUAGAGGGGGGUGAAUAGGUGUUUGAAAGAAAUCUUGACAAAUAAAUUCAAAGUAAAAUAAAUUACAAGCAAAGUCUAGAUGAAAAACAUAAUUAGUUUCAAGGAACACCAGACUUUUUAAUCAGAGAGUGUGCAAUAGACUUAAAAUAAACAGAGUUGAGAGAAGAGAAAAUUGCGUACGGAUUUUAUAAUGAUUUGGCUUAGAUUAAGCUUACGUCGACUCUUUCACACUGACAGUCUAUUGGAUGGAUUUCACUAUAUGAUCAAUAGAAGAUCACAACUUAUUAGUGCAAACACUCAGUGGUAGAUUUCGCUAGCUCACUAAGACACUCAUUUUGUGUAUUUCUCUCUUGAUCGCAAUUUGUAAUGCUCACAAAUGAAGAUAGGUAAUUAAGAGAAGUUUCAAACUUUGGAAUUCUAAUUUCACAUUUCCCUUUUCAACUUGGCCGAAUGACCUUCCUUUAAAUGCUCCUCAGUGCAAUACUAGCCGUUGAACAGAAUCAUUCAAGGAAAUUCUUCCAAUCAUACCGUUGGACAGAAUCAUUCAAGGAAAUCUUGUGGCCAUUGACGAUAGGAAUGUAAAUUCCACUUGAUUCCGUUUGUCCAUACAACUAGAAUCUUGGUUUCCAUAAAUGAUGUUUCCUCAUAUGGAACUCACCUUCGAGAUUGAUUUUGUCAAUAUAUAAUUGACUUAAUCAAUGUUUUUGAAUAAGAUAAGUGAAAUCCUUAGCUAGAAGAUCAUCGUUGAAGAAUUGUUUUUAGAGGAAGUUCAUUCUGGAUUUGUGUCACAACAUCAUUGGAUCUGGUUCUGGACCAUUCCUUGUUCUAGAUAUUAUAUUGUUUUGGGCUCAUCAAAGAGGGUAUACUUCUGAAAAGUAUUGUUAAAGAGUCAUUGAAAAUUCCUCAGAAGUAAAGAUGAUAGAAUUAGAAAAUUUUGUCAACUUCAAAAUUUGGUAGAAGUUUUCUUAACAGUCUUUACUCUAUUUGUAUCAAUGUCGGGGCAUUUAUGGGUUCCUUAAGAGGUCGUGCUCUUUUAAAUUCAGAAGCAGCUAUAUAUAGGCAUAAAAUGAAGCUGGCUGUCGGGCAAAUUAAAGUAUCACGUGAUCAUCGAGAAAUCUUCCGUUGCCCCAGAAUUUGUUGCAACGGAAUUCUGCCCAACUAUGAGGAGACAGACAAUAACUAAACUCAAGAAUAUGACUGGUUAGCCAGAACAAAAGGAAUGAUUUGGGUAAGUGUCACCCUUGGCUCAUGAAAAAGCUUAAGAAACCAAAAAGCUAUAUCCUGAUGGCGAAGAAAGUGCCUAAUCUCCUAGCUUAACUAAUCUCCCAAACUAUAUCUGUGCCUCUAGAUCAUUCACUCUCUUCACUUUAACAAACAAGAGUUUUAGCUGGAUGCUUUUAUUCAGAAAUAGACAAACGAGCCAGAUUGAUGACAACUCAGCUUACACCGAAGGACCAACAAUUUUUAUGUAAGAAAAACAUUUUCUUUCCUGUUGAGUUCAACUGAAUAAGUUUUUUUUGGUCAAAACUGCAUAAGUUAGUAUGCCAUGGAACAUAGAUAAAAGAUUCAUCACUAUUUCUGUUCAUGAGCAUCCAUGGAGGCCAGAAGCCAACAGAUUGUCGGAUCUUAUGAUAUAAGAAGAGCUUGAAUCGCAUCAUCUUUUGCAGUAGGAAAAUCUCACACAGAGUAGAUGCCAUUUUUCUACUUCCUCCUGCAAGAUAACUCCAUUAAUAGUGAAACAAAUGCAGACCCCCAUUGUGAACCAUUUGUUCUUUUGCUAUAAGAUAGAAGUUUCAUGUCUAGAUUGUAUCUUUGUCAUUCAUCACAUCAUAAAUUGAUUUUGGCUUCAGAUCUGAAAAACGCUGUAAAAUAUGGUGGAACAUACUCAAAGAAACUGAUGAUGCUUAUCUUUAAUAGUCAUCAACAUUAUAAUGUACAUUUCUACAUACUUUUCCCUGUAUUGAAGGGUAGGCAAAAAUUUUACACCAACAAGUCACAACUAUUUGCUAAAAUGAACCUCAUGUGUUCCCUAAUCUGUCUUGCUGGUAUCUCUCACGAUCUGUUCAUGUGAGAUGUCAGAUUGAGGAAAACUUCUUCACAGGGAAUCCUAAGGCCACCCAUCGGAUGAUCGAACCCAAACUCUUCUUCAGCUCGACUUAGCAAGUCUUGAAAUGAAGGCCGAGUUAAACGAGAGAUUGGAACUACAUAUCUCCGCUUCUGGGUGUCUCCAACAUAAACUGCAAAAUAGCCCCUGGGCACACCCAUGGCCAUUGGAACUGCCUGCUUUUCAGUAAAUAGAGAUCAUCAAAGAAUCUACUUAGCGAGUCUGACAAUGGGCAAAUGGCUUCCCAUGAUUAUAUUUCUGCAUAAACUUUUAGAGAAGAGAAAACAAGAUCGACCCUUAAUUGUAUUGCUAUCUCUCUAGUAAGAGAAUGUGAAUUGAUCAGUUCUAUGUUGUUUGUAGAACUCAUCAAUCGGUUCUACUUCUAUAGAUGAGCUAUAGGUAAAAUUUAAUGUGCCAUGUUGAAUGUGUAGGAAUAGUCAUCUAACAUGCAUGGCCCAGGUAAGAAACAUAAGCCUUUAAGAGGUCACAUGGUAUUGUUUUCCAGCUAAUGAACUAAUGAUGUCUAUUUCAGGAAUGAAACUGAAGACACAAUGCCCCACUUCAGAACAUUUGAUAGAGGUCCUGAUAAUUCCCUGGAGAGAGUGGUGGCAAGAGCCUCUUGUUAAAAUUUGGUGGAACAUGGUGUACCACUUUUACUGACCAACAUGUUUGAGAAAUCAGCCAAUGUUGCCACAUGAGUAGUAGGGUCAUCUGAAAAUGAUCCUUGCCUACACAUGGUUUAAUAUCAUGGGGUAGUUGUUUUGGGAAGAAAAUGAGGUUCGGUGAAGUGGCAUAUUAUGCCCUGGAUAUAACAAGUCUUGUAUUGACUGUAUAAAAAUAGUCGGUUCUAAUCUAAAUACAGUCCAUUGGCCACAAUUUGUGUCCUAGCUGCAUAUUUUUCUGUAGUUUGCCUCCGAAUCAAUGAAUGGUUUAUAGUAAAACAUGUAUUAGACAAAAAAUUAAAAUGUUCCGGAAAAAACUGGAAAUUACAGAGAUUCAGUCCUUAAAAAGCAAAAAUUCAAGAGGGUAGGCAAAACAUUUGCCUAAAAGUUCGUUGGGGCUGCAGACUUGUAAUCUGCUGAUUUUAUGGAAAAAUUGCAAGAUCCAGCCAGCAGGUUCCUGGCAUAUAUGAAGUUAAGAGCGGGAAAAAUGAGAGUUAACAGCUCAAUGAGAUGUAACAGCCCUGUAAACUUCGUGAGGGAAAAAUUUCGAUGGAGAUGCAGAUUUCAUUUUGCAAUCUAUUCUUUAGCCUUCAGUUUAUUCACUUGAUUUACAAAAAGAUCUAAUUGACCUUUUGGUCUCCAAUCCUUGUCAUACGCCAAUUCUUAGUAGGUCGUGGUGAGAAAAACAAUGUACUGCAACUCUGGACAGUAGCAUAUAGAAGCAACUCUUGGAUACUUCUUUUCUUCGAACCAUUGUCAGUUCACAUAAAACAAGAGGAGGAAACAAGUGUGCCUUUAGCACAGUCUGAUCAUACUGAAGAUCAGUUGGUAAUGAAGUAUAUAUCCUUAGACAGAAUUUCUUUGCUUCCAGCACAAAGUCAUUGCCAAAAUGACGAAUUGAUCGCUAGGAAAACCAGAUAUCCACUUAUAGAGAAUCAAUGUUAUUGAUCUACAUUGGAUCUUCAGUUGUAAAAAGAUCUACACUGGUCGUAAAAUUUGUUUACAAAAUUGUGUCAGGUGUAUCGACUAAUCUAUCUAGGAGUUCUCUAGUCAGGAUUGAUCAUCCAUCUAUGAGGCUGAGGAAAACUUCUUCAUUGCACGGAACCGUGAGGCCUCCCAUUGGAUGAUCGAAGCCAAACUCCUCCUCAGCUUGAUUCAGCAGGUCCUGGAACGAGGGCCGAGAUAAGUAUGACAGAGGAACGAUGAAUCUCUUCUUCUGGUUUUCUCCUACAUAAACUGGAAAAUGCCCCUUUGGAACGUCCAAGGGUGCAGAAUCUCCUUCUCUGCGACCAGAUAGAGACCGCCGCAACUUUUUUCCUGGCAAGCUGAUCCCCAUGAUCACGUGUCUGUAAACUCUUUUUCAAGAGGAAAGACUUGAGGAAGAUGCUAUGCCACUCGCUGGAAGGAAAUAGGAAGAAAAUUGAAUUCUGAUUUGGGUGCAGAAGCAAUGGCUUGGUAAUGUAUAUAUAGGGUAAGUGGAUGGCAAGUGAGUUUAUCUGCUAAGCUGAAUGAGUGACAGGAGGUUGCAGCAUAUAGGGCCAAAGGAGAGACAUGGGCCGUUGGGAGUUCACAUGUUAAUGUCUGCCAAACCUCAUGAAACUCUAGAGCUCAUUAUUGGAGCAAACAUGAUGCCCCACAUCUCCUGAAAACAGGAUUCCUCCCAGGUCCUACGGAAAUCUGAAGAGAUUGUGGUUGAUGUGAACAUUUCUAAGAUUUCUGACCAUGUUUUUGCUCACUAUCACAGAGAAAACACAAAUGCAUGGUGUAGGGCAAAGUUCAUCUGCCUAAUUUGGUGCCCCUAUCUCCUGUACUACAUACAAAGAUUAGAAACACAUCUAGAUAGGAACUACCCUUUUUUAUCCCAAUUUUGUGAGGCAUUUGUUCUCUGGUUUGUUCAAGAGAUAUAUUCACCUGAAGGUUCACAUGGUCCUGUCUUCCAACUCAUCAUCAGGAACUUUGAUAAUGAUUGAGACUUUCAUUUUGGGUUAGAGUGCACUCUAUGCCCUACCAUAUGUGGCUUAAGAAACCGGUGUAAGGGACCACCAGGUAGACAAGGGUGGAAAAGGUCACUGGUAAUUUAUGGUGAAUCAUCUCUGAAGCAGGGGAGGGAUAUUUAGAAGUUUUCAGAAUUAGCUCUACAAAGAGCUGUCCGAAAUCAAUGACUUAUUUGUUGAAUAAGCCAAAAUCAAUUGGACAUAAACCCAAGGGCUGUGCUCAUCGGUUGGUCGUGUCAGAGAUUGAAACAUUUUUUAAAUCAACUAUAACUAACACGUAAAACUCAAUGACCAGUAAAGCAGCUUGGUAUAACUAUGCCUUCGUUUUUUCUUUGUUUUUGUGGUCUUUACUCUAUUUGUAUCGAUGUUUGGGCAUUUAUGGUUUCCUAAGAGGUCGUGAUCUUUUAAAUGCAGAAGCAGCUAUAUGUUAGCAUAAAAUGAAGCUGGCUGUCAGGCAAAUUAAAGUAUCACGUGAUCAUCGAGAAAUGUUCCAUUACCCCAGAAUUUGUUACAACAGAAUUCUGCCCAACUAUGACUAAAUAGCCAGGACAAAAGGAAUGAUUUGGGCAACUGUCACCCUUGGCUCAUGAAAAAGCUGAAGAAACCAAAAAGCUAUAUCUUGAUGGCGAAGAAAGUGCCUAAUCUCCUAACUUAACUAAUUUUCCCAAUCUAUCCCUUCGCCUCCGGAUCAUUCACUCUCUUCAGUUAAACAAACAGAAGAAUUUCGUCUGGCACCUUUUAUUCAGAAAGAAACAAACAAGCCAGAUUGAUGACGGCUCAGCUUACACCAAAGGACCAACCUUUUUACGUAAGAAAAACAUUUUUUUUUCUUGUUUAUGUUAAUUGCAUAAGUUAGUUUGGCAUGGAACAUAGACAAAAGAUUCAUCACUAUUUGCUGUCCAUGAGCAUGCCCGGAGGCCAGGAGUCAAGAGAUUGUCCGAUUUCUUGAUAUGAGUAUUGGAAAUUUUCUAUAAUAUGGGCUUACAUUAAUUAACUAAUUUUUUAUUUCAAAUACUCGAGUUAAUGGAUAUUCCAAUAUUUAUUAAACCUUAAAGUGAUCUUAUUGAAUUAGGUUUUGGCAUCUAUUAAUAAUGGGUCUAGUUGAGCAGGCUUACAUUAAUUAAUUAAUUUUCUAUUUUAAAUAUUCGGAUUAAUGGAUAUUCAAAUAUUUGUUAAACCCUAGAGUGACCUUAUUGAAUUGGGUUUUGGCAUCUAUUAAUAACGGAUCUUGAUCAACAAAAUGUAGGCAAUUAACGGAUCUUGAUCAACAAAAUGUAGGCAAUUACACGCUAUUGAUUAUGGUUUGUUAGGUCCCCUAUCUAACCUAUAAAAUGGUAGAUUAUAGCUUAAUUCCAUUGAAAGUUGCUAUAAUGAAAAUCUGGCAUUCUAAUAGAUCUCUGAUUAUCAGAGUGAUCUGUUUUUCUUUAAGUGACAAUGACUCAAACAGGUACGUUUUAUUCCGCUGUGCUUAUCAAUUUCGGUGUUGUACAGUCAUAUAUAGAUCCGAUUCUUCUUGAUUGAUUAGUUGUUUAUGUGAAUAAUUUUCUACAAUGAUAAGAGCUUGAUAGCAUCAUCUUUUGCAGUAGGAAAAUCUCAGACAGAGUAGGCGCCAUUUUUCUUCUUCCUCCUACAAGAAAACUCCAUUAAUGGUGUAACAAAUGCAGAUCCCUGUUGUGAACCAUUUGUUCUUUUGCUACAAGAUAGGAGUUUCAUGUUUAAAUUGUAUCUUUGUCAUUCAUCACAUAAUACGCGUGCUAUGUUCGUGAUUUUUGCUUCAGAUCUAAAAGUUGCUAUUAAAUAUGGUGGAACAUACUCCAAAAAACUGAUGCUGCUCAUCUUAAAUAAUCAUUGACAUUGUAAUGUACAUUUUUACAUACUUCUCCCUGUAUUGAGGGGCAAAAAAUUUAACACCGAGUCACUCCUAUUUACAAAGCUGAACCUAAUGUCUUCCUUAAUCUGUCUUGUUGGUAAAUUUCACGAUUCGUUCAUGUGAGUUGUCAGAUUGAGGAAAACUUCUUCUUCACAAGGAAUCCGAAGGCUGCCCAUCAGAUUAUCGAACCCAAACUCUUCUUCAGCUCGACUUAGCACUGUUCAUGUGCCAUGUUGAAUACAUGGAGGAACGGUCAUCUAAAAUGCAUGGUCCAGGUAAGAAACAUAAGCACUUGAGAGGUCACAUGGUGUUGAAUUCCAGCUUUUGAACUAAUGACGUCCUUUUCAGGACAGAAACUGAAGAAUAAUGCACAAUUUCAGAACAUUUAAUAGAGGUCCUGAUAGUUUCCUGGAGGGAGUGGUGGUAUGAGAGCCUCUGGUUAACAUCCAGUGGAACAUCAGCGUACCACUUGUACCAACUUAAUAUGUACGAGAAAUUAGCCAAUGUGGGCCCAUGAGUAGUAGGGUCACCUGAAAAUGAUCAUUGCUUAGCAGUGGCUUAAUAUCACGGGGUAGUAGUAGGGUCAACUGAAAAUGACCACGCUAAAGAUCAAUCGGUAAUGAGGUAUAUAUCCUCAGACUGAAUUCUUUGCUUCCAGCACAAAGUAAUUACUGGAAGGAUGAACCGAUCACUAGGAAAACAAGAGAUCCACAUAUUUAUGAGAAUCAAUGUUAUUGAUCCAAAUUGCAUCUUCAAUUGUACAUCUGUCUUUCUCCUUAAAUUGGUACUCCCUAAAACAAGAGGGAAAAAUAUCUACACCGUUUGUAAAAUUUGUUUACAAAAUCGUGUCAAGUGUAUUGACUAAUCUCUCUAGGAGUUCUCUAGUCAGGAUUGAUCAUCCAUCUAUGAGGUUGAGGAAUACUUCUUCAUUGCACGAAAUUGUGAGGCCUCCCAUUGGAUGAUCGAAGCCAAACUCCUCCUCAGCUUGACUCAGCAGGUCCUGGAACGAGGGCCGAGAUAAGCAUGACAGAGGAACGAUGAAUCUCUUCUUUUGGUUUUCUCCUACAUAAACUGGGAAAUACCCCUUUGGAACGUCUAAGGGAGCAGAAUCUACUUCUCUGCGACCAGAUAGAGACCGCCGCAACUUUUUUCCUGGCAAACCGAUCCCCAUAAUCAUAAGUCUGAAAUCUGUUUCCAAAAGGAAAGACUUGAGGACGAUGCUAUGCCACUUGCUGGAAGGAAGUAGGAAGAAAUGUGAAUUUUGAUUUGGGUGCAGAAGCAAUGGCUUG
rnacentral:lncRNA from 1 species